AUGUAUGCGCCACUACGCAUUCGGUAAGAUUUAUCCCGCAAGAAACGUGCGGUGUUAUUGUCGUGUGAGACCAGACUUACGACACGAUUGUAUGUAAUUUUGAUCGCCAAUUUAAACUUUAAAAAGCCUAGCUUCGGCACACACCUCGUGUACGUGCUUUUUAAGCCAUUUAAAUAUCACUUGCUUUAACGGUGAAGAAAAACAUUGUGAGGAAUAAAUACUGCAUGCCUGAGAGUUCUCUAUAACGUUGAUGAUUCUUCCAAGGUACCUACAUUCCGGAGGUGCCCUCGGUGCGCGAGCCCGACUCGCACUUGGCCGGUUGUUUUUUUUAAUUUCGAUAUUCAUGUCAAAGUAAAUCUACAUUUGACUUCAAUAUCAAAUAAGAAGUGUAGAGUAUUUAUUUUUGUAAACUGUUUUCAAAUUCCAUUGAAAAUGGAGAUAAAAGUUGCAUAUUACGUAUCUUAUAAUAAAAGUCUGAUUCGUUAUCUAUUUUUGGAAAAAUAUCAUUUAUUUACAACAAUACGAGUAGAGUAAAAGAUACAAGACUCCAAAUAACUUCUUACUCUGAUAAAUACAGAAUAAGUAAAAUACAGCGUCAUUUUUUUUUGCAAUACGCCAUACGGUUCAUGAUUUUUGUAAAUGUGUACCUAAUCGCAAUUUAUAAAAUACUCAGUAAUUUCAAUUUCUGUAAAAUGGUAUUUUUAUCUUUUAAAAAAAAUUUCAAUACAGUACACUUUUUGGAAUUGCAUAUAAUAAUUUAAAAAAUAUAUACUACAAAUAUAAUAAAAAAAUGUAAAUAAAAAAAAUUCGGCGUACUGCAAAUAAAAAUUACGAACUAUACCAAUGUAACAUACAACUGCCUAUGUAUAAGCAAUACAGGCACAAUUUUUAUUAUAUUUCGUUCACAGUUUACAAAUAAAUUAGUUUACGAUUAAUUAACUAUCAUUCACAUAAGUUAUUGCUAGGUACUUCUAUUCUGCACCUUCAAUAUACACAGAAAAGGCUGCUUUACGCCAGAGCGACCACAUGCAACAAUGCGGCAUGCUACAUUAAUUUUUCUGCCUUAUAUUAGCAGUACUGCUGGCCUUUAAUAAAAAAAUUGUAAACACUAAUAAUAUGGAAAUUCAGAAAAACCGAUGUUGCUAAAAAGGUUUACCACCCAAAACCAAACUAAAAACUCUCCUACCGUACGUAGUUUUAUUUUAGUUUUAGAAAAUUCUCGUGGUUUUUAACAAUCUUUCUUUCUUUCUUUCUUCUCUCUGGGCUGAUUUCCGCACUUAAACGUUUCCGUCUGUUGUGCGUGCGUUGUCCCUCCCCGCCGAAGUCUUCACUCCAGCCAUCCAAGCUCGCUCCAGAAUUCGAUUAGACCGCCCAGGUUUUUGGCAAUAACGCAGCAGUUUUUUAGACAGGGCGGCAGAGCAUAUGGCAGUUUAUUUCAUACCAAGUAAACAUCGUGCUGUGGGAUUUAAAUGUUACGGUACGAAAGGCUGCCAAUGAUUCUUGCUACUUUUGAUAUUAUUCAACCAUGCGAUCUUGUAGCAUGCCGCAAUAAUGUGCUCUGUCGUAAAUGCAGCUUAUUGUGAAGUGAAAAUAUACGGAAUGGCAUAAUCACAUGGAAAACAACAGGAUAUUAUAUUUAAUUGGAUAGCAGAAUAUGGCGAUUUUGGUAAGUUCUAAAAUGUUUUAUGCCGGAAAAUAGAACCUAUAACAUCUUAGCAAAGUUUGUGCUCUUCAAGAUCAUAAAAGACAGUCGCAGUUAAUCUAUGUAAGUUGGAUCAGGCUAUUAUACAUUUUGGUUAGUAUUUGGCGUUAUACGUUUUUUCGUGUAUAUCAAAUCUAUUUGUUCCUAACAUUUACAUACAUACAGGUGUUUUGUCGAAGUUUAAAAAGCAAAGUAUACCUUUAAAUAAAACCGUUUAAAACAUAUUUAAGGUAACUAAUGUAUUCAAUAAAUAAUAUUAAUACUAAUCGUAAAUAAAAUCGAUAUUUAUGUUUUACGUGUGUAGGUGCGAACUAGCGAGCAGUUUUUCAAUUCCCAUAUAUCUACAAUAGGUAUCGAUAAAACACCCGUAUAUAACUUCAUACAUAAAUAUAUAAAUAUUUGUUUAUUAUUUUCAAAAUUAUUACUAGAGAUAUUGGUAUUAUUUUAGUAAAAGUCUAUUUAUUUAUUAGAAAUACAAAAACCAGUCGCUUACACAUCUAAUUUAUCGUUAGGCCGAUAUUAGUGCGAACUGCUGAUUCGGUCGUACACAAAUCCUAAACUAAAUUGGCAGAUAGGCUAAGUUAGAUCUAGUGGUAUUUGAGAACAAUUUGAACCCAAGCUGAU